rnacentral:rRNA from 1 species
UAACGCAUUAAGCACUCCGCCUGGGGAGUACGGUCGCAAGACUGAAACUCAAAGGAAUUGACGGGGGCCCGCACAAGCGGUGGAGCAUGUGGUUUAAUUCGAAGCAACGCGAAGAACCUUACCAGGUCUUGACAUCCUCUGACAAUCCUAGAGAUAGGACGUCCCCUUCGGGGGCAGAGUGACAGGUGGUGCAUGGUUGUCGUCAGCUCGUGUCGUGAGAUGUUGGGUUAAGUCCCGCAACGAGCGCAACCCUUGAUCUUAGUUGCCAUCAUUCAGUUGGGCACUCUAAGGUGACUGCCGGUGACAAACCGGAGGAAGGUGGGGAUGACGUCAAAUCAUCAUGCCCCUUAUGACCUGGGCUACACACGUG